CAGCCGCCGCGGGAAUACGGAGGGGGCUAGCGUUGUUCGGAAUUACUGGGCGUAAAGCGCACGUAGGCGGAUAUUUAAGUCAGGGGUGAAAUCCCGCAGCUCAACUGCGGAACUGCCUUUGAUACUGGGUAUCUUGAGUAUGGAAGAGGUUAGUGGAAUUGCGAGUGUAGAGGUGAAAUUCGUAGAUAUUCGCAGGAACACCAGUGGCGAAGGCGGCCCGCUGGACAAGUAUUGACGCUGAGGUGCGAAAGCGUGGGGAGCAAACAGGAUUAGAUACCCCCGUAGUCCCUGUCUCUUAUAC
rnacentral:rRNA from 1 species